GUUUAUUAGGUACACCCAUCUAGUACCUGGCCCAGUUUAUUAGGUACAUCCAUCUAGUACCAGGUCCAGUUUAUUAGGUACACCCAUCUAGUACCAGGUCCAGUUUAUUAGGUACACCAUCUAGUGCCAGGUCCAGUUUAUUAGGUACACCCAUCUAGUACCUGGCCCAGUUUAUUAGGUACAUCCAUCUAGUACCAGGUCCAGUUUAUUAGGUACACCCAUCUAGUACCAGGUCCAGUUUAUUAGGUACACCAUCUAGUGCCAGGUCCAGUUUAUUAGGUACACCCAUCUAGUACCUGGCCCAGUUUAUUAGGUACACCCAUCCAGUACCAGGUCCAGUUUAUUAGGUACACCCAUCUAGUACCCGGACAGUUUAUUAGGUACACCCAUCUAGUACAGGGUCGGACCUUCCUUUGCCUCCAGAACAGCUUGAAUUCUUCGGGGCAUUCUACAAGUUGUCGAAAAACUUUUCUGCAGAUUGGACGGCGGUACACUCAUACUGGGAACAGUCAGUUCCAUCUCAUCGCAAAGAUAUUCUAUUGGGUUGAGGU